GGUAAUGUUUUCGUUAACAACCUUGGCACAAAAAUGAGUGUGCUAAUGAACUGUGGGGUUUUUUUGGCACCACUUAUAAAUAAGAAUGAAAGAUCACAGAAGAAUAGACCCUAAGAAUGAGUAAGGAUACAAAUACACAAGUGCCCCUAUAUCAUGAGAAGGUUCAUGCCAGCUGUCUGAACAACAUCUGCAUCCUAACCCAUCACUGUUCCUUCCUCAGCAGGGUCCAGGGGGAAGAAAAGUGUACAGCUGUCAAGGGUGAAACAUUUGGGCAGAAAGGAGUUGAAGGGAAGGAUGAAAGUGUAAUUAACUGAAGCCUAAUGAAAAGGUGUUCCUAGAGGGUA